GUCUAUGGCUAUGCCACCCUGAACAAGCCCGAUGUCUGAUCUCGGAAGCUAAGCAGGGUCUGGCCUGGUUAGUAAUUGGAUGGGAGACCACCUAGGAAGACCAGAU
rnacentral:rRNA from 1 species